CUUUCUGUGGUGCAGUUGGCAGCACCUUGGUUUAGUAAUUGUAAGUCCUAGGUUCAAUUCCCGGUCGGAGGA